rnacentral:lncRNA from 1 species
GAAGCUUGGGCAGAAGAUUAAAUAUACAUUUGUCCAGGUUUAUUCUAGAUUUUGACCUCCUUAAGGUUAACAGCUUGUUCUAAAUGGAAAAGAGUCAUGGUCAGACUAUUAGUUUAUUUUGCAUCUGGGUAGAGGCAUCUGGGGAAGUUUUGUGUCUGGAUUUGCUUUAGAAGCUAUAGAGUUUUGUAGGCUUAGCCCCAUACUUGGGGCUUGUGGCAAGCUGGGAUCUGAACCCCUAGUUUUCCUUUGUCUUUUGCAUUGUCAUUUUUUUUGUAUUUUUAAUUUUUUCUCUUUUCACUUCUCCUUUUCAGACAAGGAGGCUGCUACAAACCGACAUUGUGAUCUGCUUCUCUCAGCUGCUGCCAAAGGCUACGCUGUGUGCUGAUCCGAACGCACAACAGGAGUCCAGGGGAGCCCUGGGUGGACAGGAAGAUUCUGAUAGGAGCCUCGAGCUUCACUUCCUUUUGAGACUUGUCCUUUUUCUCAAAAAACUGGAGCACUUCUAUGGAGAGACCAUGGAUUCUUCCUGAAGAUGUAGUGUUUGCUGGGGUGUUGAACAGGUUAGUGCACGGGCCCAUAUUUGUGAGAGUAAAAGUCAGAUAAAAAUUAAUUACAGCAGAGAUUACAAAAAUCAACAGCCACGAGACUUUUUUUU